rnacentral:rRNA from 1 species
CUGGCGGCGUGCUUAACUACAUGCAAGUCGAGCGAGAAGCUCGUGAACGAUUCUUCGGAUGAGUGAUCGAGUGGAAAGACGGCGGAACGGGUGAGUAACGCGUAGGCAACCUGCCCCAGUACAAAGGGAUAGCUACUGGAAACGGUAAUUAAUACCUCAUAACACGGAGAGACCGCAUGAUCUUUCCGUCAAAGAUUUAUCGGUAUGGGAUGGGCCUGCGUCUGAUUAGCUGGUUGGUGGGUAACGGCCCACCAAGGCGACGAUCAGUAGCCGACCUGAGAGGGUAAACGGCCACAUUGGAACUGAGACACGGUCCAAACUCCUACGGGAGGCAGCAGUGGGGAAUAUUGCACAAUGGGGGGAACCCUGAUGCAGCAACGCCGCGUGAGCGAAGAAGGCCUUUGGGUCGUAAAGCUCUGUCCUGAAGGAAGAAGGAAGUGACGGUACUUCAGGAGGAAGCCCCGGCUAACUACGUGCCAGCCGCCGC